AGAGAGAGAGAGAGAGAGCGCUGAUGCAGAGUUAAGGAGACAGAGCCCAGCUGCACACCUUGCCCGGCCGAAGCUGCAGGAAGCUCCUGCACCCUCAGCCCUGUCGGUACCAGGGUCUCAUGUAACCCGAGUUACCAGCAAACUUGCCACGUAGCUGGGGAUGACCUCAAACUUCUAACCCUCCUGUCUGGACCUCUGGAGUGCUAGGAUUACAGUCCUGUCUAGAGCUGGAACUUGCUGUGAAAUGGACAGAAGAUUGUUGGUCCCUGCCUUCUCAAGAAUACUCCAGAACCUUCCACCAUGUCUCUUUGUGUGAGAGUCAAUCUUCCUUAUCAGCCUGCUAGGAUUUAGAAUCAUGGUGGAAACACACAUCUGAACACGUCUGCCAGGGUGUUUCUGAGGAGACUUAACUGAGAUAGAAAGACCCACACUAUGGGCCACAGCAUCCUGUGGGCUUGAGUCCAGUGUGCUGAAUAAGAAGGAAAGAGUAAGCUGGAAAGCACUACCCAUCCCCCUCUGCGUCCUGAACUCAGACGCAGCGCACCUCGAGCUUCUGCCACCGUUAACCCUCACUGUGAUGGACGGCAUCCUCAAACUGUAAGCCAACAGAUGCCCUUCCUUAAAUUACUCCUCCCCAGGAAACCGUCCCAGUGAGCAGAGUCAGAGGUCCACAAGGACCCACCCUGAGACUCCUCGUGGCCUGCACACAUGGUAGAAUCAACUUCCAUAUGUUCUUGGGCCCUCACCAGCAAUACCCAGCGUGCACCAUGCUGAGUCCCAAGGGAGCCAGGUAGAAAGGAUGACCCUACAGGCAAUGAGGGACACAAGACCAAGGAUUGCUGGCUACAGGAAAUGGAUCCUAGAAGGAGUCAUUUGUGGAUAUCCCCUUGCAGCAGAUGGUCCCUGUUCUCUUGGCUGGUGCACUUGGCGCCUCCUCAGCUGGUCCCUUUUGACACUGUUUGGACUGAUUUUCAGCAGGCUCCUGGACUUUGGCAUCCCUUCUCCACAAAUACAGCCACCAAGAAGGCCACAGCCAUCCCCAGCCCUGGUGACGCUGGCCUUUGGCAGCAGACAGCUUAGCCCUCCUUCAUGUUCCUGCUGACAUCCGAGGAAAAGUCAUCGAGAUACCACGAAGCAAGCAGCACCUUCUUGCUAAAAGAGGUUUCCUUCUCAUGUCCCAGCGCAAUUCAGGCUGCAAGCCACCAGAGGAAACUUCAUUUUUACCCUACAUUUCCUGCCCAGUUCACUGUGUAAUUGGCCUGUGCUUCCCCCUCGGUGAUUUAGCAGGGAGUGCCGCAUCUUAUAAAAAGAAUAAAUCUGAAUAAAACCCAGGGAG